UGUACUUCCGCUGAACCCGGAACAGGAUGCUGUUGGUUGAAGUCUAUAAGACAGCCUCUCGGACCAAUCGGUGACUUGGAACUAGGCGUUGGCGUUUGAAACCGCCCAAUCAGAGGCGCGCGCUAGGGUUUGUUCCUUAAAGAGAGCGCUGAGGAAGAAGGCGGCAAAGAGCAACGGACGGUGGCCUGCGAGCGGACGACAAGAUGACCGGGUCCAAUGAGUUCAAGUUGAACCAGCCUCCAGAAGAUGGCAUCUCCUCAGUGAAGUUCAGUCCCAACACAUCCCAGUUCCUGCUGGUCUCUUCCUGGGAUACUUCGGUUCGGCUCUAUGAUGUCCCAGCCAACACCAUGCGUCUCAAAUACCAACACACAGGCGCCGUCCUCGACUGUGCUUUCUAUGAUCCAACACAUGCUUGGAGUGGAGGAUUGGAUCAUCAGUUGAAAAUGCAUGACUUGAAUACUGAUCAAGAAAACCUUGUUGGAACCCAUGAUGCACCUAUUAGAUGUGUUGAAUAUUGCCCAGAAGUGAAUGUUAUGGUUACUGGAAGUUGGGAUCAAACAGUUAAAUUGUGGGAUCCCAGAACUCCUUGUAAUGCAGGAACUUUUUCUCAGCCAGAAAAGGUUUACACGCUCUCUGUGUCUGGAGACAGAUUAAUUGUGGGGACAGCUGGUCGAAGAGUGUUGGUAUGGGACUUGAGGAAUAUGGGCUAUGUGCAGCAGAGAAGAGAAUCUAGUCUGAAAUACCAGACUCGUUGCAUACGAGCAUUUCCAAACAAGCAGGGGUAUGUGUUAAGCUCUAUUGAAGGCCGAGUGGCAGUUGAAUAUUUGGAUCCAAGUCCUGAAGUACAGAAGAAGAAAUAUGCAUUCAAGUGUCACAGACUAAAAGAAAACAAUAUUGAGCAGAUUUAUCCUGUCAAUGCCAUUUCCUUUCACAACAUUCACAACACAUUUGCUACAGGUGGAUCUGAUGGAUUUGUUAAUAUUUGGGAUCCAUUCAACAAAAAACGAUUGUGCCAAUUCCAUCGAUAUCCCACUAGCAUAGCAUCACUUGCCUUUAGUAAUGAUGGGACCACACUUGCAAUAGCAUCAUCAUAUAUGUAUGAAAUGGAUGACACUGAACAUCCUGAAGAUGGUAUCUUCAUUCGCCAAGUGACAGAUGCAGAAACAAAACCCAAGUCUACCUAAUCUAAUCAUCUUGUGGAAGUGUGGCUUCUCUGUGGAAAGUUUUUGUGUACUUCCUACAAAAGAUACUUAUCCUUAAGGGAUAAUUUAUAGUGAAUAUGGAUGAACUUUUUUUGUUAUUGGAUUUAUUUCUUUUCCCUUGUCUUUAAAGAAUCCUGUAUAUGUGCCACUUAGUGCUUCUAAGAAAAUUUUAGACUCAGGACUCUGUUCUUAUGUUGUAACCUGAAAAGAAAUUUCUAUUUGGAAAUUUUAUCCUCCCUUCCCUUCUCUCUUCCCCCCCCCCCCCCCCCCAACCCCAGCAGCUUGACUAUUUGUAACACAAACAUUUGUAACAAAAACAUCUUAUUUCCUAUUUAAUAAAUCAGUUUCAGAAACUGUUUUAAAUUGUUGCAUAUUUUAAAAUUUGGAAAUUAAUGGGGAUCUACAUUAUAAAGCUAUCAUAAAGCAAAAUUGCCCUUUUCAUGACCAUGCUAGGGCUAUAUUUUGCCCUUGAGCCACAUUUUUACUUAUAUUUACUUCUGAUGUACAUUUAUCACUUUUCCUGGGAAAAAAUGAUCCCUUGAAGUUCGACUACUACUCCCAUCCUUGUCUCUUAAAACCGUGUAUCCUUGUGUAGGUCCUUGUGUAUAUCCUUGUGCAUCCUGCUUUGCAAACCUUAUCUGCACAAGUAUAUACAGCUUCAAGAGACAAGGAUGAUAGUUAGUUCGGUAGCCAACUAUUCAGCUUCUCAAAAUGAGCUUAGAACUUGUGGAAUCUGACUUUUUUUUUUUUUUUUUUUUUUUUUUUUUUAAGUAUCUCCAAUGUAGUACUCAAGUAGUAACACAAAUCCUUGCACUGAAACAAACUGCCUUUACCUAGAAAAAUAUAUAUCUAGACAUCAAAUUUUGAUUAAGAAACCUUGAGACAUGGCAAAUAACAUGUUGUGAUGGAUCUAAUUUAUUAUAUUAAUCUUUUGAUGUAAUUUAGAAUAUUUUUGCAACCAUUUGGGUAAAUAUAAAACAUAUAGGAUCUUGGAGUUGACUUUUAACCAGUAUUUUUUUAUCUACUCCAUUUUGAAUUUUCUAUUUUUGUAUGUUUACUACAAUGGUUAGCACAGUGAUGGGUCAUAGGUCAUAGUGUAGGUAGGUACUCAAUAAUUAUUGUUGAAUUAAAGGUGAAUGACUACUUUUCCCGUCAAAGGCAAUAAAGUGAUAAAUAGUUUGAAAUAAGAGAUAAUUAUGUUAACCAACAUGUAAUCUACUUCAGGAAAAAAAUUUUUUGGAGAGGUUCAUAUUAGCAAUAUGUUUGAUUGGCCUCCAUUGUUAUGGUUAUUAUUUGGUUUGGUUAAACAAAAUUUAUUUUAUAUAUUUAUUUGAGGGCAAAAGGUGUGGUAGGAGACUAGUUGGAGUGACUAUGCUAAGUCACAAUUUCAGGGCCUCUUCCUGAUCUUUUAAAUAAAGGGAUGAAAGUAUUUAGAUUAGUAAAUUAUGAUAUCCCUUCCUUGUAUAAGAUGCUGAAUAAUGCAGAUAAUUAUAUAAUUGUUUGUAACCUCAUAUAGAAUUGUGAUUCUCAAUAUGUUGGUUUUUGAUACUUUGUAGUAUUUUAUUAUAGGAAUAUAUUAUAGAAAUGCUUUAUAUUUGCAUGUCGCUGUUUUGCUUUCAAAAGAUUCAAAUCUUGAAUUUACCAUUUACUAACUUGUGGGAAUAUCAUCUAAUCUUUCUGGGUACUGGUUUUUGUUUUUGCAAAAUGACAUUUCAGACUAGAUCAUAUCUUAAGUUUUCUUCUAACUCUUCUAAUUCUAAAUACCUAUAUGAAUCAAUUAUACUUUUAACAGAUUUCUUCUAUUCUAUAAGUGGUAACCCUCUUUUCAGUUAUAGAAUCAAUUUUGAAACCAUAGAAUUAUCUUUCAUCCUUUGCCGUUUUUCCCAGUUCUAUACCUGAACUAUUGCAACAUUUUUCCAACUGGUCAUCUUUUCCUUUCUCUUAGUCUCUCUCACACAUAUCUGGAGACUGUGUGUGGCCACAGCAACAUCUUUUUGGAAUUGUUAAAGGGAAUCUUUGGUCUGAAAGGGAAACUGGGUCUCAGAAAGGUUUGGAGUGAUUUACCCCUGACCCCAGAAGGACGAAGAGAAGUCAUCAGUGGUCACAAGGACAGUAGCUCAGGCUUGGCUUCAUGUUCCCCACCUCCUCCUGUUUACUGAACUUGAAACUGUCUAACAAUAUAUCUGUUAAUGAACAAUACUUAUAGUGCUAUAAAAACUGAUAUUUAGUGUUUGGCUUACCUGCUGUUUUUCGCUUCAUUCAGUCACUUGUACUAGACUCAGAGUAAUGUUUGCAUCUUCAUGACAGAGGAACACAGAAGAGAUAGGGGAGAGAAUUAGAAACAUAAUUUUAUUUAUGGUGUAAAAACCACUUUUGUCACAACAACUCUGUGAAGUAGGUAAUAGUUCGGGAAUUAUCUUCAUUUUAUAGGCUUAUAGAAUUGGAAAGGACCUUAGAGAGAUCAUUUAGUCCAAUCCUUUAUUUUACAAAUGGGGAAAAGGUAACCCAGAUGGAAAAAAGGACCUAACAAAAACCACAUAGAGCCAGAAUUGGGAUUCAGGGUUUUUUUUUUAAAUAUAGUCCUGUAAUGUAAAUGUAUUUAGAAUAGGAUAAUGAAAUUUGCAGAGUUUAAAGAUCUUACCCAUAGGCACAAAGUUGAAUACUUAGUGCUGGAAUCAGCAUUCAGACCUAAGUCUUUCCAUGGUAGUCCUGCCUGUGUUAGUUUCUCACACAUACCCAUCUUUGACUAGAACUGAAAUUUAAAGGACAUGUGUUUGGACAGCUUUGUAUUCUGUGCAUGAAAAA